rnacentral:pre_miRNA from 1 species
GUCCAGUAACUAUAUGAAAAUCUCAAUUUUGUUCCUAAUUUCACCGGAAAUUUGGAACUACACAUGCCAUCACGUGAUUGAAAUAGGAUGAAAUUAGUACCAAAAUUGAGAUUUUCAUAUAGUUACUGUAC